rnacentral:rRNA from 1 species
UACGUAGGGUGCAAGCGUUGUCCGGAAUUAUUGGGCGUAAAGAGCUCGUAGGCGGUCUGUUGCGUCGGCUGUGAAAACCCGGGGCUCAACCCCGGGCCUGCAGCCGAUACGGGCAGACUAGAGUUCGGCAGGGGAGACUGGAAUUCCUGGUGUAGCGGUGAAAUGCGCAGAUAUCAGGAGGAACACCGGUGGCGAAGGCGGGGCUCUGGGCCGAUACUGACGCUGAGGAGCGAAAGCGUGGGGAGCGAACAGG